rnacentral:rRNA from 1 species
UACGUAAGGGGCAAGCGUUGUCCGGAAUCACUGGGCGUAAAGGGUGCGUAGGCGGUUGUUUAAGUCUGACGUGAAAUCUCCGGGCCUAACCCGGAAACUGCGUUGGAUACUAUUCAACUAGAGGAAUGGAGGGGAGACUGGAAUACUUGGUGUAGCAGUGAAAUGCGUAGAUAUCAAGUGGAACACCAGUGGCGAAGGCGAGUCUCUGGACAUUUCCUGACGCUGAGGCACGAAAGCCAGGGGAGCAAACGGG